GUACAUGCACGUACUUACAAACAUAAAUACAUGCAUACAUAGAUAUAUGCAUACAUAUAUGCAUGAUAUACUACUUGCAAUCAAGUUGCCCUUAACUUGUAAAAAUAUUGGAUUGAUGUGGACAACGAGGAGAAAUAUCUGGAUGUUGAGAUAUUUUUACAAUUAAUCGCUGAUAGUUAUAGUUGUCAUUUGUUUUCCUCAGUAAUGUAAUCAUUGUGAUUUCUUUUGGAAGAAUUCUGCUGGUGAUUGCCAACAAAUGACCGACCUUCUGGAAACCAAGUUUGUUAUAUUCAUUUUGCAAUGUCGAACAUGAAGGAUGGCCUGAAUAUCCUGAGGCAAUCAAUGCUCUGAUUUUUCCCUAUUUAUGCUUGAGUAAUGACAUUGAGAUUUUUCUUGGAAGAAUUCUUUUGGUGAUUGCCAACAAGUGACUGAUCUUCUGGAAAUCAAGUUUCUUAUACUCAUUUUGCAAUGUCGAACAUCAAGGAUGGCCUGACAAUUCUAAGGCAACAGACGUUCUUAUUUUCCCUAUAUAUGGUGAGAGGACCUUUAGAAAGCUGCAUAGUUAUUUAUUUAUUGUUGGAAUUAAGUAGUCAUAUGACCCUCUCUUUCUGUUUCUUUCAUAAAGCACGUUGCAGUAAUAAUGGUAUUUAUACACACACAUGUAUGUAUGAUGUACUAAUUCCAUCAAAUUGCCUUUUAACUUGAAAAAUUAUUGGAUUGGUGUGGACACUGAGAAGAAAUAUCUGGAUGGUGAGAUAUUUUUACAAUUAAUCGCUGAUAGUUAUGGUUGUCUUUUAUUUUCCUGAGUAAUGUAAUCAUUGAGAUUUCUCUUGGAAGAAUUCUGUUGGUGAUUGCCAACAAGUGACUGAUCUUCUAGAAAUGAAGUUUCUUAUACUCAUUUUGCAAUGUCGAACAUCAAGGAUGGCUUGAAAAUUCUAAGGCAAUCGGUAUUCUGAUUUCCGUAUUUAUGCUUGAGAUUAUACUAUUAGAGGACCUUUAGAAAUUUGUUUAUCUAUUUAUUUUUUGUUGGAAUUAAGUAGUUAUAUGGACCUCUCUUUCUCUUUCUUUCGUGAAGCACAGUGCAGUAACAAUGGUGUAUACAUAUAUGUCGAUCUUGUUCACGAGCUUCAAAUGAUGUUGUUUGUGAACAUAAAUGAAAUGGACACAUUCGUGUUCAAGCUUGUUUAUAUAAAAAUUGUGUAUUAAAAAUGUAGUUCAAGUUUGUUUGUUGGGUUAGUUAAACGAUCACAAACGAGAUUUAAUCGAACCGAGCAACGAUUAGCUCGUCGAACAUUUGGUUUGCUUGCGAGGGUCUAAUACUAGCAACUCAAGUGACGCGACAUCUCCUUAUUCAUUACCUUAUAAAGUCAAGAGUCUGCGUCUCCAUUCUAAUUUUUAUGCAUUAAAAUUGAAAUUGCACUGAUGGGGGAUAAUGUUUUUCAUUUACAAAUGGAAAUCAUAUAUGUUGCCUCACCUGCACCAUGAAAUAUAUUUUAAAUGGCCUAAUCAUAUGGCUUUUUUCAAGAUUAGUGACAUUCCCAAUAUGUAGUAGUGUGCUGAGAUUAUCUCGUUUAUGAGUGAAAAGUUGUGAGGGCAAUGAUGGUGAUGAUUUAGAGUUUAGAAUUCAACCAUUGAUUACACAUGGAAAUUAUGAAAUAUUGCUAUGUUUCCCAUGAUAUGGCAUGUCUGGAUGGCCUGGAGCAUCUCCGGCAACCACAUCUUCCAUUGCAUGGGAAUUAAAGUGUUGCAAGGCUCUUCUACUUAUCUUAUGUCAGGGUUUCAUUAUCAUCUAAGCCUUCAUUUUUUUUGUUCGUUUUUUCUUCUUCUUCUCCAACUUGUUAUUCUUGCUCAUUACUCUUGAAGCUUAGUUAUUUUAGUUGUUGUGCCUAGCUCCCUAAUUAUUUAUUCACUAAUAAAGUCAUCUCCAACUUCUAUUGCUAUGACUGUGACAGUAUAUCCAUCAUCAAUUCUCACUGCUUAGCAUUGCUAUGUUUCUCUGGCUAUUAGAUGAUGAAUUUCUUUUGGAGAGGCGACGACAAUUAUUGCUAACCAUUGACAAUUUGGUUAUGUUUGAUUCUUACUCUACUCUAUUAAUGAGGCAUCAAGGAUGGCAUGAACCUAAUUCUAUUUAGCUGUUUACCUGCUUGUUUUAACUUUGUGUCAUAUUCUUUGCAGCAGUAGGAGCAGGAGGCAUUUGUUUUUGAACAAGCUUUGCAAUCACAUUAUUGUUGUUUGUUUUUUAGUAUUUUUAGUAUAAACCGAUAUAUGUUUGCAAAAAUAUGCUUUUGCAAUCUCUACUUGCCCUUUUUUAUGAGGUGGUGAGCAGUAUGAUGAAAGUUUUAAUCUACUGCUGAAUAUUCUUAUUUCUCAACGAAGUAAAUAUGUCAAACAAAUUUUAUUGUCGGUCAUAAGUGGUGUAUCCUAUAUUAGUGGUUUAUUUCA